CGAAGGGUGCAAGCGUUACUCGGAAUUACUGGGCGUAAAGCGUGCGUAGGUGGUUGUUUAAGUCUGUCGUGAAAGCCCUGGGCUCAACCUGGGAAUUGCGAUGGAUACUGGGCGACUAGAGUGUGGUAGAGGGUGGCGGAAUUCCCGGUGUAGCAGUGAAAUGCGUAGAGAUCGGGAGGAACAUCCGUGGCGAAGGCGGCCACCUGGGCCAACACUGACACUGAGGCACGAAAGCGUGGGGAGCAAACAGGAUUAGAUACCCUGGUAGUCCACGCCCUAAACGAUGCGAACUGGAUGUUGGGUUCAACUUGGAACCCAGUAUCGAAGCUAACGCGUUAAGUUCGCCGCCUGGGGAGUACGGUCGCAAGACUG
rnacentral:rRNA from 1 species